rnacentral:lncRNA from 1 species
AUUCACCAAAUCAUAAAAAAUUUGAACUGCCUAAUCACUUUCUUUGACAUUCAUUGUGUUGGUGCAAAAAUCUGCCUGCAUCGGAGAAGCUAGAGUCGAGGGAGUCGUAGUCGCCGUCGGGACCUGCAAAAGAAGUCUAAACCGGAGGUGGGGUUGCUCCAGCAAGACCCUCCGAUGCUCAAGUCAGUUCUCUGCCUCAACAAGAAUGGAGUGCUCGAACAAAAAUUUUAGCAGAGUUUUUAGGUAAGAAAUGAGAGCUUAGAGAAUAACGUAUCUG